AGCGAACGCUGGCGGCAGGCCUAACACAUGCAAGUCGAACGGAUCCUUCGGGAUUAGUGGCGGACGGGGGAGUAACACGUGGGAACGUGCACUUUGGUUCGGAACAACUCAGGGAAACGUGGGCUAAUACAGGAUGUGUCCUGCGGGUGAAAGAUUUAUCGCCAUUGGAGCGGCCCGCGUCUGAUUAGCUAGUUGGUGAGGUAACGGCCCACCAAGGCGACGAUCAGUAGCUGGUCUGAGAGGAUGAUCAGCCACACUGGGACUGAGACACGGCCCAGACUCCUACGGGAGGCAGCAGUGGGGAAUCUUGCGCAAUGGGCGAAAGCCUGACGCAGCCAUGCCGCGUGAAUGAUGAAGGUCUUAGGAUUGUAAAAUUCUUUCAGCGGGGACGAUAAUGACGGUACCCGCAGAAGAAGCUCCGGCUAACUUCGUG
rnacentral:rRNA from 1 species